UCAAAUUUAUACUUCGUUUGUCAUUUUAGUUCAUUCUCUUUUUUAUUUUUUGUAAAAUUAUUUCACACGACCCCAUAUAAGAUAGGACCCUUACUCGACUUAAUUAUUUUUACACUAUCAUAAAACUGAACCCUUUAUUUCACACACAAUACGAUUAACUAUUUUAUUAAAAUUCGUGUUAUUCUUAAAGAAGCAUGAAAUGAGGGACAAAGAGAGUGAUAUUCAUUUCUCUGUUAUCCACUUCAAUUUUAUCAUUUCAUGCUCCAUCAGUAACACCAACCAAAUAAUAUUUUUACUUUUACUUAGUUUUUAUUUUUUAUUAUAUAAACCAAGUUUAUUCUAUUUAAAUUUCAUAAUUAUAAAAAAAGUACUCCAUCCG
rnacentral:lncRNA from 1 species